CUCCUGAAAUUAUAUACUCUGGCUCGAGAUUCAGUUUCUGUCCACCUAAAGGUAUAUUUUCUUGCUCGGAUUGAUUCAUUUUCUCUCUGUCUGAGGGUAUAUGUUCUUGCUCACAUAUAUCCAGUGUCUCGCCGCCUGAAGUUAUAUCCUUUUUGUUCAGAUUGAUUCAGUUUCUCUCCGCCUGAAAUUAUAUACUCUGGCUCAGAUUGAUUCAGUUUCUCUCCUCCUGAAGGUAUCUUCUCUUGUUCAGAUUGAUUCCGUUUCUCUCCACCUAAAGGUAUAUUCUCUUGCUCGGAUUGAUUCCGUUUCUCUCCGCCUGAAGUUAUGUACUCUGGCUCGGAUUGAUUCCGUUUCUCUCCGCCUGAAGUUAUAUCCUCUUGUUCAGAUUGAUUCAGUUCCUCUCUGUCUGAGGGUAUGUGUUCUUGCACAUAUAGAUUCAGUUUCUCUCCGCCUGAAGUUAUGUACUCUGGCUCGGAUUGAUUCAGUUUCUCUCCACCUGAAGGUAUAUACUCUGACUCGGAUUGAUUCAUUUUCUCUCCGUCUGUUGGUAUGUGUUCUUGUGCAUUUACGUUCUGUUUCUCUCCGCCUGAAGUUAUGUACUCUGGCUCGGAUUGAUUCAGUUUUUCUCCACCUAAAGGUAUAUUCUCUUGUUCAGAUUGAUUCAGUUCCUCUCUGUCUGAGGGUAUGUGUUCUUGCACAUAUAGAUUCAGUUUCUCUCCGCCUGAAGUUAUGUACUCUGGCUCGAAUUGAUUCAGUUUCUGUCCACCUAAAGGUAUAUUCUCUUGUUCAGAUUGAUUCAGUUUCUCUCCGCCUGAAAUUAUAUACUCUGGCUCGAAUUGAUUCAGUUUCUGUCCACCUAAAGGUAUAUUUUCUUGCUCGAAUUGAUUCAGUUUUUCUCCACCUAAAGGUAUAUUUUCUUGCUCGGAUUGAUUCAUUUUCUCUCUGUCUGAGGGUAUAUGUUCUUGCUCACAUAUAUCCAGUGUCUCGCCGCCUGAAGUUAUAUCCUCUUGUUCAGAUUGAUUCAGUUUCUCUCCGCCUGAAAUUAUAUACUCUGGCUCAGAUUGAUUCAGUUUCUCUCCUCCUGAAGGUAUCUUCUCUUGUUCAGAUUGAUUCCGUUUCUCUCCACCUAAAGGUAUAUUCUCUUGCUCGGAUUGAUUCCGUUUCUCUCCGCCUGAAGUUAUGUACUCUGGCUCGGAUUGAUUCAGUUUCUCUCCGUCUGUUGGUAUGUUUUCUUGUGCAUUUACGUUCUGUUUCUCUCCGCCUGAAGUUAUGUACUCUGGCUCGGAUUGAUUCAGUUUCUCUCCACCUGAAGGUAUAUACUCUGACUCGGAUUGAUUCAUUUUCUCUCCGUCUGUUGUUAUGUGUUCUUGUGCAUUUACGUUCUGUUUCUCUCCGCCUGAAGUUAUGUACUCUGGCUCGGAUUGAUUCAGUUUCUCUCCGCCUGAAGGUAUAUGUUCUUGCUCAGAUUGAUUCAGUUUCUCUCCGUUUGAAUUGAUAUACCUUUGCUCAGACUGAUUCAGUUUCUCUCUGCCUGAAGGUAUUUGCUCUUGCUCGAAUAGAUUUUGUUUCUCUUCAUUUGAAGGUAUAUACUCUUGAUCAGACCGAUUGGGUUGGGCUUCUCUGUUAUUCCACAUCUCUUCCUCUUUCACAUGAUACUUUGCUUCUUUCCAAUCAUCCAUUCUUUCUCCAAUUCCAUUCUCUUCAUUGUACCCUGCCACUCGAUCCCAUUCAUCCUUUACAUCCCCAUUGGGGUUCAGUGCAUGUUGUUCCUCACGUUUGUUAGACAUAUCAUUUUCAUCAUCCACUUUUGUGAAAUUUAUGUCACCUUCCUCCACUCUUUCAACAUGGUGAAAUACCUCUUCUGACCAGUGAGAAGCUUGAGCAGAUUCAUAUGAGAUAAUCUCCUCUUGGUUGAACUUAUCGAUUCUUUCUGUCAUGUCAUUUUCCUUAAUGAAUCCUCCCAAUCUUUCACAAUCAUCGUUACCAUACCCAUAGGGGUGCAAUUCAUCUUCCAAUUGCUCCUCAUGUUUGUUAGACAUAUCAUUUUCAUCCUCUUUUGGGAGAUGAAUAACAUCUUCCUCCAGUCUUUUAACAUGGCGAAAUGCCUCUUCUGAACCGUGGGAGGCUUGAGUGGAUUCAUAUGACAUAUUGUCCUCUUGGUUGAACUCUAUUGGCUUGUUGUAACUUUUCCCCGCCCCAUACUCAAAAGCUUGACUGCUUGUGAAGGUUUCAAAUGCUUGCUCUAGCACUGAUGCAGUUUCAGAUUCCAAGCCUUCGUUUCUCGCCCAUUCAGCAUCUUUCUUUGCUGUUUCAAGCUCUCUUUCCUCCGAUGCAUUCAUGGGACCGUAAGGCAUAUCUAGUAGAGGUUCCUCUUUUUCAAAAUACAUUUCAAAAGGUACAUCAUUAUCAUCAUUCGCUGAGAAAGCAGAAUGUGCCCCUGUCACCGAACCUGCUCUCUCAUAGCUCACUGAAGGGCUGUAGAGCUCUUGAGCAUCAGUGCUGAACACAGUUGGCAUACUGAAGCUGGUCUCGACCCGGUGACUCAUGGCAGAUUCCAGAACGGGUUUCUCUUCAGCAAACCAGGUUCUGACUAUGUUCUGAUCCUCUUCCUCCUUUUCCAUAUCCCACAUGGAUUGUUCCUUGUGGUCAGAUCCAAGCAAAGAUACAACAUCAGCUCCUGCCUCUUCAGUGGGAGGUGAGAGAGGCUCAGCAUAGUUGACUUCUAUAUGGACAUCUUGGGGUCUGAAGUGGUGGACUGAAAUUCCGUCCUGUGGUACUUUGAGGUAAGGCGUUGAACAACUUACCUGGUGGUUGGACCCUACGCCAAAGUCGAUAUGCUCUUCUGUCUUUCGACAACUCUCAGGUGUUUCAUUCAGGGUUACCCGAUUUUGAGUCCAGAUUGGUGAUGCGGACAUCAUUGUCACAUUGGAUCGUGGACUUGCUCUAUGGAUGGUAGAGAUGGGCCUG
ensembl:lncRNA